GGAUGUUGGCUUAGAAGCAGCCAUCAUUUAAAGAAAGCGUAAUAGCUCACUGGUCGAGUCGGCCUGCGCGGAAGAUGUAACGGGGCUAAACCAUGCACCGAAGCUGCGGCAGCGACACUUAUGCGUUGUUGGGUAGGGGAGCGUUCUGUAAGCCUGUGAAGGUGUACUGUGAGGUAUGCUGGAGGUAUCAGAAGUGCGAAUGCUGACAUAAGUAACGAUAAAGCGGGUGAAAAGCCCGCUCGCCGGAAGACCAAGGGUUCCUGUCCAACGUUAAUCGGGGCAGGGUGAGUCGACCCCUAAGGCGAGGCCGAAAGGCGUAGUCGAUGGGAAACAGGUUAAUAUUCCUGUACUUGGUGUUACUGCGAAGGGGGGACGGAGAAGGCUAUGUUGGCCGGGCGACGGUUGUCCCGGUUUAAGCGUGUAGGCUGGUUUUCCAGGCAAAUCCGGAAAAUCAAGGCUGAGGCGUGAUGACGAGGCACUACGGUGCUGAAGCAACAAAUGCCCUGCUUCCAGGAAAAGCCUCUAAGCAUCAGGUAACAUCAAAUCGUACCCCAAACCGACACAGGUGGUCAGGUAGAGAAUACCAAGGCGCUUGAGAGAACUCGGGUGAAGGAACUAGGCAAAAUGGUGCCGUAACUUCGGGAGAAGGCACGCUGAUAUGUAGGUGAAGCGACUUGCUCGUGGAGCUGAAAUCAGUCGAAGAUACCAGCUGGCUGCAACUGUUUAUUAAAAACACAGCACUGUGCAAACACGAAAGUGGACGUAUACGGUGUGACGCCUGCCCGGUGCCGGAAGGUUAAUUGAUGGGGUUAGCGGUAACGCGAAGCUCUUGAUCGAAGCCCCGGUAAACGGCGGCCGUAACUAUAACGGUCCUAAGGUAGCGAAAUUCCUUGUCGGGUAAGUUCCGACCUGCACGAAUGGCGUAAUGAUGGCCAGGCUGUCUCCACCCGAGACUCAGUGAAAUUGAACUCGCUGUGAAGAUGCAGUGUACCCGCGGCAAGACGGAAAGACCCCGUGAACCUUUACUAUAGCUUGACACUGAACAUUGAGCCUUGAUGUGUAGGAUAGGUGGGAGGCUUUGAAGUGUGGACGCCAGUCUGCAUGGAGCCGACCUUGAAAUACCACCCUUUAAUGUUUGAUGUUCUAACGUGGGCCCCUUACCGGGGUUGCGGACAGUGUCUGGUGGGUAGUUUGACUGGGGCGGUCUCCUCCUAAAGAGUAACGGAGGAGCACGAAGGUUGGCUAAUCCUGGUCGGACAUCAGGAGGUUAGUGCAAUGGCAUAAGCCAGCUUGACUGCGAGCGUGACGGCGCGAGCAGGUGCGAAAGCAGGUCAUAGUGAUCCGGUGGUUCUGAAUGGAAGGGCCAUCGCUCAACGGAUAAAAGGUACUCCGGGGAUAACAGGCUGAUACCGCCCAAGAGUUCAUAUCGACGGCGGUGUUUGGCACCUCGAUGUCGGCUCAUCACAUCCUGGGGCUGAAGUAGGUCCCAAGGGUAUGGCUGUUCGCCAUUUAAAGUGGUACGCGAGCUGGGUUUAGAACGUCGUGAGACAGUUCGGUCCCUAUCUGCCGUGGGCGCUGGAGAACUGAGGGGGGCUGCUCCUAGUACGAGAGGACCGGAGUGGACGCAUCACUGGUGUUCGGGUUGUCAUGCCAAUGGCACUGCCCGGUAGCUAAAUGCGGAAGAGAUAAGUGCUGAAAGCAUCUAAGCACGAAACUUGCCCCGAGAUGAGUUCUCCCUGACUCCUUGAGAGUCCUGAAGGAACGUUGAAGACGACGACGUUGAUAGGCCGGGUGUGUAAGCGCAGCGAUGCGUUGAGCUAACCGGUACUAAUGAACCGUGAGGCUUAACCUU
rnacentral:rRNA from 1 species